rnacentral:rRNA from 1 species
CUUGAACGCUGGCGGCAGGCUUAACACAUGCAAGUCGAGCGGAGAUGAGGUGCUUGCACCUUAUCUUAGCGGCGGACGGGUGAGUAAUGCUUAGGAAUCUGCCUAUUAGUGGGGGACAACAUUCCGAAAGGAAUGCUAAUACCGCAUACGUCCUACGGGAGAAAGCAGGGGAUCUUCGGACCUUGCGCUAAUAGAUGAGCCUAAGUCGGAUUAGCUAGUUGGUGGGGUAAAGGCCUACCAAGGCGACGAUCUGUAGCGGGUCUGAGAGGAUGAUCCGCCACACUGGGACUGGGACACGGCCCAGACUCCUACGGGAGGCAGCAGUGGGGAAUAUUGGACAAUGGGGGGAACCCUGAUCCAGCCAUGCCGCGUGUGUGAAGAAGGCCUUAUGGUUGUAAAGCACUUUAAGCGAGGAGGAGGCUACUGAGACUAAUACUCUUGGAUAGUGGACGUUACUCGCAGAAUAAGCACCGGCUAACUCUGUGCCAGCCGCCGCCGUAAAAC